rnacentral:rRNA from 1 species
AGUGAACGCUGGCGGUAGGCCUAACACAUGCAAGUCGAACGGCAGCACAGUAAGAGCUUGCUCUUACGGGUGGCGAGUGGCGGACGGGUGAGGAAUACAUCAGAAUCUACUUUUUCGUGGGGGAUAACGUAGGGAAACUUACGCUAAUACCGCAUACGACCUACGGGUGAAAGCAGGGGAUCUUCGGACCUUGCGCGAUUGAAUGAGCCGAUGUCGGAUUAGCUAGUUGGCGGGGUAAAGGCCCACCAAGGCGACGAUCCGUAGCUGGUCUGAGAGGAUGAUCAACCACACUGGAACUGAGACACGGUCCAGACUCCUACGGGAGGCAGCAGUGGGGAAUAUUGGACAAUGGGCGCAAGCCUGAUCCAGCCAUACCGCGUGGGUGAAGAAGGCCUUCGGGUUGUAAAGCCCUUUUGUUGGGAAAGAGAAGCAGCAGGUUAAUACCCCGCUGUUCUGACGGUACCCAAAGAAUAAGCACCGGCUAACUUCGUG